GCAGCCGCGGUAAGACGUAGGUAGCAAGCGUUGUCCGGAAUAACUGGGUGUAAAGGGAGCGUAGGCGGUUAUGUAAGUCUAAUGUGAAAGUUUGUGGCUCAACCAUAAAAGUGCAUUGGAUACUGUAUGACUGGAGUACGGAAGAGGUAUACGGAAUUACUAGUGUAGCGGUGGAAUGCGUAGAUAUUAGUAGGAAGACCGGAGGCGAAGGCGGUAUACUGGGACGAUACUGACGCUGAGGCUCGAAAGCGUGGGGAGCAAACAGGAUUAGAUACCCC
rnacentral:rRNA from 1 species